UUCGGGUCGCCGGCGAGUGGCAAACGGGUGAGUAACGCGUGGAUACCUGUCCUGCGGUGGGGAAUAACGUUUAGAAAUGAACGCUAAUACCGCAUAAGCCCUGCGGGGGAAAGAUUUAUCGCCAUAGGAGGGGUCCGCGUCGGAUUAGCUAGUUGGUGGGGUAACGGCCUACCAAGGCGACGAUCCGUAGCUGGUCUGAGAGGAUGAUCAGCCACACUGGGACUGAGACACGGCCCAGACUCCUACGGGAGGCAGCAGUGGGGAAUAUUGCGCAAUGGAGGAAACUCUGACGCAGCGACGCCGCGUGGGUGAAGAAGGCCUUAGGGUUGUAGAGCCCUUUUAGUGAGGAAGAUAAUGACGGUACUCACAGAAAAAGCUCCGGCCAACUCCGUGCCAGCAGCCGCGGUAAUACGGAGGGGGCAAGCGUUGUUCGGAAUUACUGGGCGUAAAGGGCGCGUAGGCGGUUUAAUAAG
rnacentral:rRNA from 1 species